GGUGGCUUAGCUCAGUGGUAGAGCAUUUGACUGCAGAUCAAGAGGUCACGAGUUCAAUUCUCGUAGCCACCU